CCUACGGGAGGCAGCAGUGGGGAAUAUUGGGCAAUGGACGGGAGUCUGACCCAGCAAAGCCGCGUGAGGGAAGAAGGCAUAGGGUAUGGUAAAUUCUUUUAGUGGGGGAACGCAGAAGGCGAUACCCCUUGAGUAAACCGCAGCUGACGACGGACCAGCAGCCACGGUCAUACGUAGGGCGCAAGUAUUGUCCAGAUUGACUUGGUGUAACGGGCGUUCAGCCGGAGAGAAAAGUGCGGUGUGAAAUCCACGGGCUCAACCCGCGAACUGCAGUUGAAACUGGUUCCCUUGAGUGUGGGAGAGGUAUGCGGAAUUCGUGGUGUAGCGGUGAAAUGCGUAGAUAUAAGGAAGAACACCAGUGGCGAAGGCGGAAUACUGGCUGAUAACUGACGGUGAGGCGCGAAAGCGUGGGGAGCAAACAGGAUUAGAUACCCCAGUAGUC
rnacentral:rRNA from 1 species